GGGAAUGCAACGGUUUCGACGGAAUGAAAGAUGGUUAAAACUGCAUAUAGUGUUCCUGCCAGCACUUUAAAAAGGUAGAAAAACAAUAAACAACAACAAUAACGUAGAAUAUAACUACGCAAUGGCUGCUUAAUUUAAAGCAACCUCGCUUUAGGGAUUCUCUCUCACCGGAGUUUCUGAAGUGUCAAAACAGAUGAGAUAGUCCGUAUGAUCGUCUGAGUUAUACGGGCAAAACUUAAUCAGAAUAGCAAUUACUUUGGCUUGUCUGUCUGCCUGAGUGUUGUGAAAAUUAAAGUACAGACUAUAUAUGUAGAGGUUUUAAUGGUCUUCUUUUCGGACCCGAGUUCGACUCUCGGCAUUUCCACUA
rnacentral:tmRNA from 1 species